GCCGGCGUAGCACAGUGGUAGUGCAGCGGUUUUGUAAACCGAAGGUCGCGGGUUCGAAUCCUGCCGCCGGCACCA
rnacentral:tRNA from 1 species